UACGGAGGGUGCAAGCGUUAUCCGGAUUCACUGGGUUUAAAGGGUGCGUAGGUGGAUCAGUAAGUCAGUGGUGAAAGCCCCGGGCUCAACUUGGGAAUUGCCAUUGAUACUGCUGGUCUUGAGUUCGGUUGAGGUAGGCGGAAUAAGUCAUGUAGCGGUGAAAUGCUUAGAUAUGACUUAGAACACCGAUUGCGAAGGCAGCUUACCAAACCGACACUGACGCUGAGGCACGAAAGCGUGGGGAUCAAACAGG
rnacentral:rRNA from 1 species